rnacentral:rRNA from 1 species
UAGCUGGUCUGAGAGGACGAUCAGCCACACUGGAACUGAGAGACGGUCCAGACUCCUACGGGAGGCAGCAGUGGGGAAUUUUGGACAAUGGGCGCAAGCCUGAUCCAGCCAUGCCGCGUGAGUGAUGAAGGCCUUAGGGUCGUAAAGCUCUUUCGCCAGAGAUGAUAAUGACAGUAUCUGGUAAAGAAACCCCGGCUAACUCCGUGCCAGCAGCCGCGGUAAUACGGAGGAUGCAAGCGUUAUCCGG